rnacentral:rRNA from 1 species
AAAACUUACAACAACGGAUCUCUUGGUUCUGGCAUCGAUGAAGAACGCAAGCGAAAUGCGAUAAGUAGUGUGAAUUGCAGAAUUCAGUGAAUCAUCGAAUCUUUGAACGCACAUUGCGCCCUGUGGUAUUCCGCAGGGCAUGCCUGUUCGAGCGUCAUUUAACCCCCCUCAAGCUCUGCUUGGUGUUGGGCGUUUGUCCAGCCUUUUUGGCGUGGACUCGCCUUAAAAACAUUGGCAGCCGUCACCCUGGCUUCGAGCGCAGCACAUUUGCGCCCGAUCACUAUGUGGCGGCUCCCCAGAAGCCUAUUUCUUUUUGAUUGACCUCGGAUCAGGUAGGGAUACCCGCUGAACUUAA